rnacentral:rRNA from 1 species
AGCUUUAAGAGUCUAUUUAAAGUUUUACCUGCCCGGUGAUAUUUAAACGGCCGCAGUACUUUGACUGUGCUAAGGUAGCAUAAUAAAUUGGCUUUUAAUUAAGGUCUAGAAUGAAAGGAAAUUUGAAGAAUAACUGUUUCAAUAAAAAUAUAUAAAAUUUAUUUUAUUAGGUGAAAAUACCUAUAAACUUUUUCAUAAGACGAGAAGACCCUAAGAAUUAUAAUAAAUUAUUUUUUCUAAUAAUAUUCGUUUUUGUUGGGGCAACAAUAUUGGAAUUUAACCAAUUUUUUUAUAGUUUUUUUGUCAAAUUUUUUAAGAAUAAAAUUAAUUACCUUAGGGAUAACAGCAUAAUUAUACUUAUAGAUUAUGACCUCGAUGUUGGAUUAAGGUCUUUUAUAAUUAGCCAUUAUAAAAGAUAGUUCUGUUCGAACUUUUCACCUU